CUACGGGGGGCAGCAGUAGGGAAUUUUCGGCAAUGGGCGCAAGCCUGACCGAGCAACGCCGCGUGAGUGAUUAAGGCCUUCGGGUUGUAAAGCUCUGUUGUAAAGGAAGAACGAUCAGUAUAGGAAAUGAUACUGACGUGACGGUACUUUACCAGAAAGCCACGGCUAACUACGUGCCAGCAGCCGCGGUAAUACGUAGGUGGCAAGCGUUAUCCGGAAUUAUUGGGCGUAAAGGGAGCGUAGGCGGUUUAUUAAGUCUAUGGUGAAAGUGCGGGGCUCAACCCCGUAUGGCCAUAGAAACUGAUAGACUAGAGUGCAGAAGAGGGUAGUGGAAUUCCAUGUGUAGCGGUAAAAUGCGUAGAUAUAUGGAGGAACACCGGUGGCGAAGGCGGCUACCUGGUCUGUUACUGACGCUGAGGCUCGAAGCGUGGGGAGCAAAUAGGAUUAGAUACCCUCGUAGUC
rnacentral:rRNA from 1 species